rnacentral:rRNA from 1 species
CUACAGAACGAACGCUGGCGGCAGGCCUAACACAUGCAAGUCGAGCGAGGUAGCAAUACCUAGCGGCGGACGGGUGAGUAACGCGUGGGAACGUACCCUUUGCUACGGAAUAGCCCCGGGAAACUGGGAGUAAUACCGUAUGUGCCCUUCGGGGGAAAGAUUUAUCGGCAAAGGAUCGGCCCGCGUUGGAUUAGGUAGUUGGUGGGGUAAUGGCCUACCAAGGCGACGAUCAAUAGCUGGCGUGAGAGCGCGACCAGCCACACUGGAACUGAGACACGGUCCAGACUCCUACGGGAGGCAGCAGUAGGGAAUAUUGGACAAUGGGCGAAAGCCUGAUCCAGCCAUGCCGCGUGAUAGAUGAAGGCCCUCUGGGUUGUAAAUAUCUUUUAUCUGGGAAGAAACUCCUCUAUUCUUAGAGGCCUGACGGUACCAGAGGAAUAAGCACCGGCUAACUCCGUG